GACGAACGCUGGCGGCGUGCUUAACACAUGCAAGUCGAACGGAAAGGCCCUGCUUUUGUGGGGUGCUCGAGUGGCGAACGGGUGAGUAACACGUGAGUAACCUGCCCUUGACUUUGGGAUAACUUCAGGAAACUGGGGCUAAUACCGGAUAGGAGCUCCUGCUGCAUGGUGGGGGUUGGAAAGUUUCGGCGGUUGGGGAUGGACUCGCGGCUUAUCGGCUUGUUGGGGGGGUAGGGGCUUACAAAGGCUUUGACGGGUAGCCGGCCUGAGAGGGUGGCCGGCGUCAUGGGGACUGAGUGAGGCCCCAGUCGCGAACGGGCGGCAGCGGGGGGAAUCCUGGCGGAGGGGGGGGACGUGAGUGAUGGAGGGCCCGGGGGCGGAAGGCUGUGUUAUGGGUGAAAAACCAUUUUGUCAGUAACUAUGCCCGGCUUGACGGUAAGGGAUAAGAAAGCCACGGCUAACUACGUG
rnacentral:rRNA from 1 species